GUGCUCGCUUCGGCAGCACAUACACUAAAAUUGGAACGAUACAGAGAAGAUUAGCAUGGCCCCUACGCAAAAAAGACUGACAAACAACCAAUAUGCAGAAAGAGAGA